CCUACGGGUGGCAGCAGUGGGGAAUAUUGGACAAUGGGGGCAACCCUGAUCCAGCCAUGCCGCGUGUGUGAAGAAGGCCCUCGGGUUGUAAAGCACUUUCAGUGAGGAAGAACGCCUGGUGGUUAAUACCCAUCAGGAAAGACAUCACUCACAGAAGAAGCACCGGCUAACUCCGUGCCAGCAGCCGCGGUAAUACGGAGGGUGCGAGUGUUAAUCGGAAUUACUGGGCGUAAAGCGCGCGUAGGUGGCUUGAUAAGCCGGUUGUGAAAGCCCCGGGCUCAACCUGGGAACGGCAUCCGGAACUGUCAAGCUAGAGUGCAGGAGAGGAAGGUAGAAUUCCCGGUGUAGCGGUGAAAUGCGUAGAGAUCGGGAGGAAUACCAGUGGCGAAGGCGGCCUUCUGGACUGACACUGACACUGAGGUGCGAAAGCGUGGGUAGCAAACAGGAUUAGAUACCCGUGUAGUC
rnacentral:rRNA from 1 species